GUAUAUGUAUUAAAUUUAAAGUGAACGGCAAGCAUCAAGCAAUAAAAACACAAAUCAAUAGAAUAUGUUUGCACCAUCAAUACAAUUUUGAGAAUAUUAAGGAUAUGAAGAUUAACUUUGAAGAAUAAUUAAUAAUAAAUCUUGAAGAAUGAGAAUCAUUUUUAAUAAAUAUUAUAUUAUACUAAAAACAUACACUCUGAUAACAUAUGAAUUUGCAUGUAAGUAUAGGAAAAAUAUGGAUACCUAUUAACUCACGUAUUAUGAUUACUCUAUUACAUUAGAAUAUUAUUAACCUACGGUGGAUAGGUAAUAAACAUUUAGGUGCGUACCAAUAUGAUUAUUCUUGUUUUAGCAGAUAGUCAAUUGUAGUAAGUAAUAUAUAGGAAUAGAUGAAUUCCAGGAGAUUAAAGUAAAGAAAUUAUUUACGAUAUGAGUAUUCUCGUUCGAAAAUACUUGUGUGAUUACGUUAGAAGGUUAAUACAGCUGGAACAUAACAAUAAAUAUAGGCGUUUACUUACGUUAUUCGUAGUGACGAUAGAACUUCGUAAAACGACAACGGCGGAAUGGGUACGACACAAAGAAUAUAAUCAACUACACUGACGACUAGGGUAAGUGUCGACGGAUCGAUGAACGGAUGGAAGUAUACGCACGUAUGGAUAGCAAUAUUUGAUACCAGAGGCCCCAGGGCUUCUCAAAUUUGUAUACAACUGUUCCAAACCAAACCUUAUCACGGUUCGGUCCAUAUUCUUAAAUUAUUUGGACCAUAAGAAAUACUCGGACACGAAUUUAUUAUAUUUUAAAUCUAAAGUGAACGGCAAGCAUCAAGCAAUAAAAACACAAAUCACUAGUAUAUGUUCGCAUCUUCAAUAUAAUUUUGAGACUAUUAAGGAUAUUAAGUUUAACUUUGAAGAAUAAUUAAUAAUAAAUCUUGAAGAAUGAGAAUCAUUUUAAUAAAUAUUAUAUUAUACUAAAAACAUACACUCUGAUAACAUAUGAAUUUGCAUGUAAGUAUAGGAAAAAUAUGGAUACCUAUUAACUCACGUAUUAUGAUUACUCUAUUACAUUAGAAUAUUUUUAAACUACGGUGGAUAGGUUAUGAACAUUUAGGUGCGUACCAAUAAGAUUAUUCUUGUUUUAGCAGAUUAUCAAUUGUAGUAAGUAAUAUGAAGGAAUAGAUGAAUUCCAGGAGAUUAAAGUAAAGAAAUUAUUUACGAUAUGAGUAUUCUCGUUCGAAAAUACUUGUGUGAUUACGUUAGAAGGUUAAUACAGCUGGAACAUAACAAUAAAUAUAGGCGUUUACUUACGUUAUUCGUAGUGACGAUAGAACUUCGUAAAACGACAACGGCGGAAUGGGUACGACACAAAGAAUAUAAUCAACUACACUGACGACUAGGGUAAGUGUCGACGGAUCGAUGAACGGAUGGAANGCAAGCAUCAAGCAAUAAAAACACAAAUCACUAGUAUAUGUUCGCAUCUUCAAUAUAAUUUUGAGACUAUUAAGGAUAUUUAGUUUAACUUUGAAGAAUAAUUAAUAAUAAAUCUUGAAGAAUGAGAAUCAUUUUUAAUAAAUAUUAUAUUAUACUAAAAACAUACACUCUGAUAACAUAUGAAUUUGCAUGUAAGUAUAGGAAAAAUAUGGAUACCUAUUAACUCACGUAUUAUGAUUACUCUAUUACAUUAGAAUAUUGUUAACCUACGGUGGAUAGAUAAUGAACAUUUAGGUGCGUACCAAUAUGAUUAUUCUUGUUUUAGCAGAUAGUCAAUUGUAGUAAGUGAUAUAUAGGAAUAGAUGAAUUCCAGGAGAUUAAAGUAAAGAAAUUAUUUACGAUAUGAGUAUUCUCGUUCGAAAAUACUUGUGUGAUUACGUUAGAAGGUUAAUACAGCUGGAACAUAACAAUAAAUAUAGGCGUUUACUUACGUUAUUCGUAGUGACGAUAGAACUUCGUAAAACGACAACGGCGGAAUGGGUACGACACAAAGAAUAUAAUCAACUACACUGACGACUAGGGUAAGUGUCGACGGAUCGAUGAACGGAUGGAAGUAUACGCACGUAUGGAUAGCAAUAUUUGAUACCAGAGGCCCCAGGGCUUCUCAAAUUUGUAUACAACUGUUCCAAACCAAACCUUAUCACGGUUCGGUCCAUGUUCUUAAAUUAUUUGGACCAUAAGAAAUACUCGGACACGAAAUUAUUAUAUUUUAAAUCUAAAGUGAACGGCAAGCAUCAAGCAAUAAAAACACAAAUCAAUAGAAUAUGUUUGCACCAUCAAUAUAAUUUUGAGAUUUUUAAAGAUAUUAAGUUUAACUCUGAAGAAUAGUUAAUAUUAAUUCUUAAUGAUAAGAAACAUGUUUAAUAAAUAUUAUAUUAUACUAAAAACAUACACUCUGAUAUCAUAUGAAUUUGCAUGUAGGUAGAGGAAAAAUAUAGAUAUCUACUUACUCAUGUAUUAUGAAUACUCUAUUAGAUUAAAAUGAAUUAUUAAUAUAAUGUAGGUAGGUAAUGAACAUUUGGAUGCGUUACUUAUAAAAUCAUAAAAUCGUUCUUGUUUUAGCAGUUUAUCAAUUUUCCUAAGUAAUAUGAAGGAAUAGAUGAAAUCCAGGUGAUAAAAUUAAAGAAAUUAAUUUCGAUAUGAUUUUUCUCGUUCGAAAAUACCAAUGUGCUUACGUUAGAAAGUUAAAUCGGCUGAAACUGAACAAUAAAUAUAAGCGUUUACUUACGUUAUUUGUAGUGACGAUAGAACUUCGAAAAACGAAAACGGCGAAAUGGGUACGACCCAAAGAAUAUAAUCAACUACACUGACCACUAGGGUAAGUGUCGACGGAUCGAUGAACGGAUGGAAGUUUACGCACGUAUGGGUAGGAUUUUACUUACGUUAAUAGCGUUGACGAUUGAAUUGUGAUAUACAAACGCUGCGUAAUACAACAUAAAAACAAUAACGGCUAGCAGUUGCAACUAGUCACUAACACUAACAACUUCCAUAAGAAUCAAGCGAUCGAUUAACGGACGUAAAUUGAAUUCUUGGUUACUGGUAACAUAAACAAAACAAUACCGAGAGCAACCACGAUAUAGACGAUUUUAGUGAUUACGUCACGGAGUACAACUGAUAGUGACAACUGUUCCAAACCAAACCAAACCAUAUCUAAGUUCAGUGCAUGGUCAUAGAAUUUUUAGGUUAUAAGAAAUACACGGGUAUGAAUUUAUUAUGUAUUAAAUUUAAAGUGAACGGCAAGCAUCAAGCAAUAAAAACACAAAUCAAUAGAAUAUGUUUGCACCA
rnacentral:lncRNA from 1 species